rnacentral:rRNA from 1 species
GGGCGCAAAACCCUGUCCUCCAGGAAGAUAAUGACGGUACUUGCGGAGGAAGCCCCGGCUAACUACGUGCCAGCAGCCGCGGGAAUGCGUGUGGGGGUGGCGUUAGCCGGAUUUACGGGGCGUAAAGGGUGCGUAGGCGGUCUUUCAAGUCAGGAGUGAAAGGCUACGGCUCAACCGUAGUAAGCUCUUGAAACUGGGAGACUUGAGUGCAGGAGAGGAGAGUGGAAUUCCUAGUGUAGCGGUGAAAUGCGUAGAUAUUAGGAGGAACACCAGUUGCGAAGGCGGCUCUCUGGACUGUAACUGACGCUGAGGCACGAAAGCGUGGGGAGCAAACAGGAUUAGAUACCCUGGUAGUCCACGCUGUAAACGAUGAGUACUAGGUGUCGGGGGUUACCCCCCUCGGUGCCGCAGCUAACGCAUUAAGUACUCCGCC